rnacentral:lncRNA from 1 species
GCCCACCCCAAGGGAAGAAUCAGUGCACUUGACUGUCUCAAGUUGCCCGCUUGGCCCUCUUCCAAGUGUACUUUACUUCCUUUCGAUCCUACUCUGAAGCUUUUUAAUAAGUUUUCACUUCUCCUCUGAAACUUGCCUCAGUCUUUACUUCUGCCUUAAGAAAGAAUUGCCUCAGUCAAUUCUUUCUUCCCAGGAGGUAAGAAUUGAAGUUGCUGCAGAUCCAUAUUAAUUCCCAGCCAGUAACAGUAGAUCUUAGUGAGGCAUGUAUAGGUGUUUAUUGCACUUUUCUUUCAAUGGAGGGAUGGUAAGAGCAUGGCACAGAAUUCCUAAUGUGUGUUUCAAGGGCCCAAGCACCAUGUGAAUCAAGAACCAACUUCUUUGGAAACUUCAAGAUGCUGGUCCUAACAGUUUGUUCUGCUUGUUCAACUAUCGUUCCUAGGGUCCUCUCACUAAAGCAAGAUGCCAUCAUGAAAUUCAUAACUCUCUGAAAACUGAAAGUAUUUCCAUAAAUUUGCCACCAAAACUCAUUUGAUGCAAAACCUUACCUGAACUAAUCCCAUGUAUAAAGAAAACCCACUCGGCC